rnacentral:lncRNA from 13 species
AUGGAAUUUCUAAAACUUGGAAAGAGCAAGCAGCCCAUCCUUUUCAGCGGAAUCCAUCAUCUUCCAGAAGUCUAUCAUACAUAUUGUUCUUCAAAAUCGUUAUUGAUUUUGAUAUACUUUGACCACUGCAUUUUCUAAUUAAGUAAGAAAUGUUAUCAGUGUUUCUUCUGAAUUUUCAAAAAGGUUUAAUAAAAUCUUCUACUACUACUGAUAAUUUAUUUCU